rnacentral:rRNA from 1 species
AUUGAACGCUGGCGGCAGGCCUAACACAUGCAAGUCGAAUGGUAACAGGAAACAGCUUGCUGUUUCGCUGACGAGUGGCGGACGGGUGAGUCAUGUCUGGGAAACUGCCUGCUGGAGGGGGAUAACUACUGGAAACGGUAGCUAAUACCGCAUAACGUCGCAAGCCCAAAGAGGGGGACCUUCGGGCCUCUUGCCAUCAGAUGUGCCCAGCUGGGCUUCGCUAGUAGGUGGGGUAACGGCUCACCUAGGCGACGAUCUCUAGCUGGUCUGAGAGGAUGACCAGCCACACGGGAACGGAGACACGGACCAGGCUCCUGCGAGAGGCAGCAGAGGGGAAUAGGGCACAGUAGGCGGGAGCCUGAUGCAGCGAGGCCGCGUGUAUGAAGAAAACCUUGGGGUUGUGAAGUACUUUCAGCGGGGGGGAAGGGAGUAAGGUUAAGACCAAGGCUCAGUGACGUUACCCGCAGAAGAAGCACCGGCUAACUACGUG